UUUCCGUAGGUGAACCUGCGGAAGGAUCAUUACUGAGUGAGGGCCCCUCGGGGUCCAACCUCCCACCCGUGUUUAACGAAUCUUGUUGCUUCGGCGGGCCCGCCUCACGGCCGCCGGGGGGCAUCUGCCCCCGGGCCCGCGCCCGCCGAAGCCACCUGUGAACGCUGUCUGAAGUAUGCAGUCUGAGACAAUUAUUAAAUUAAUUAAAACUUUCAACAACGGAUCUCUUGGUUCCG
rnacentral:misc_RNA from 1 species